CAAAACAAACUUUAGUUCCAUGUAAUAGAUGAAGAAACUGAAUUUCUGAACCAGGUGACUGUGCAAGGUCACACAGCUAACACGUCUGACUCCAGACCCUGAGUUCUCAACCACAAGGCUCUACUGGCUCUCACAAAGCUGGGAGUUAUCCAGGACAGCUCUGAUUCCUCCUUCUGUAGCUCAUCUCUGGGUGUUUCUUGGGCAGCAGGCAAACCUCUGCUCCUUCUCCAUGGAAAAACACCCAUGCGUUCCCAUCCAGAAGUCAUGAGGCAAAAGGCUGAUAAGAGAAUAAUAAUACAGCCAACAGUGCUGGAUGUGUCCCAAGUGGGACGGAAAAGGGGACCUGCCUCCUAAAGGCAUCAUCAUGAAUUGAGCCCUGGAUCUGGAAUCCCCAAAUGAGGCAUCAGGUAUUACUUCUGCUACUUAUGGAAAAGGAACUUGGGAAAGUUACAUGGCUUCCCUGAAUCCCACUUUCCUUCUCUGUAAAAUGUGACAGAAUAUUUCAGUGAGAACUCAGGACACCAUGAACACCUAGCCCUUGGUUAUGGUUGAGUUGUGUCCCCUCAAAAAAGAUCUGUUGGAGUCCUAACCCCAGUACCUAAGCAUGUGACCUUAUCUGGAAAUAGCGGCUGUGUAGAUAAUCAAGUUAAGAUGAGGUCAUUAGGGCGGGCACCUCGGUGGCUCAGUUGGUUUGGUGUCUGACUUUGGCUCAGAUUAUGACCUCGCACUCUGUGAGUUCAAGCCCCGCAUCGGGCUCAGCACUGACAGCUCAGAGCCUGGAGCCUGCUUCAGAUUCUGUCUCCCCUCUCUGCCCCUCCCUUGCUCACACUCUGUCUCUUUCUCAAAAAUAAAAUAAAAACAUAAGAUGAGGCCUUUAGGUGACUAUAUGGGAUCACUAUAGGGUGAAUAGUGUCCUCAUACAAGGUUUUUAGGAAGCACAUGCCAGCCACCGUGGGCACACAGGAAAUGACAGCUGUAAAUCUCAGGGGUAAUGACAAGGGUAAAUCUCAGCAAACCACCAUUCAACAGCAGCCGACGGCUGCAGAAAAUCAAGAAUUAACCCACAGGCUGCAUGUUCCAGUUCAAUCCCUGGAAGAAAUGACCACCAGUAGCCAAUCACAAGAUACAUACCUCUCCACACCUGGACAGGAAUAACCCACACUUCUGCAAGCAACACCUUUGGUCAGACAUGCAGCUGCAAGGUCUCCAUUCCUUCUACCUGGAUCCAGGAUGCUCUUCCCCCAUCACUGCCAGCAUCAAGCUAGCCCUUCAGAUCCAACUACAUUGUGAUUUAUACUGUUUUGGGGGACACAGCAAUUAUUUGCCUGAUGUCUACAUCUCCUACCCACUGAAAACUCCAUGAAGGAAGGUAAAAAUCUGAGUUUGUUCACCAAUGAAUCCCCUGCACCUAACACAGACUGUACAGAGGCCCUUGUGAGGAGUUUGAGUUUUAUUUUAAGUUUAAUAGAAAACCUUCGAAAAUUCUUACACAGGAGGUGAUGAGGUCACAUUUAUUGUCAGUGACUUAUUAAACAACCAAAACCCAA